UCUGUAUCCCUCUUCUGUUGUCCAGAACUAAAAGAGAGAGAGAGAGCAGUUGUUCUCCUUGGCCUGGCCCAUUUCCAGAAAGAGGAUCCCUCCCAAUUCUUCAAGAUUUGUAAGCCAAACGAAGAGAGUGAGGCAGUGAAAGGAAUGAACGUAGGAAUCUUGGUGUUUACAGAGGAGGAUCCUCAACGCCCUGUCCCCAAGGAGAUGAUUGAUAUUGCACUGAUUCUGGAGAAGCAUAUCGUUCUUCGGGACCUGAAGGAUGUGCCCAACGCAUUCGCCCUGCUGAUGGGUCUGCUCUACGUCUUCAACAUCCAUUACCCAAAA